rnacentral:rRNA from 1 species
AUGCCGGAAGAACCGAGGCGCAGCAACAAUCAGCGCCUCCAGCCUAUACGAAAUACAGCAAUUGUAGGUCCUGCUAGGCGACAGCUUCAGUUCACGCAGGAACGAACUACCAACCAAGGCCCAACUCAUGGGAACAGUUCAGCAGGGGGGAAUGCUCCCAUGCGGGGUGGAGUUGGCCAUCUCAGUAACCCCCAAGCCCAAGUUCAUUCUACCAUUAUAGCUCCAGCCCAUCAAAAUGAAGAAACUAGGGUGAAUAACCCAGCAAGGGGUGGAGUGGGCAAUCCUAUAAACCAGCAGGAGAAUUCGACUAGGAUUGUCUCAAACCAUGAAAACAAUAUAGGGGUGAAUUACCCGUCAAUGGGUGGAGCGGGAAAUCCUACCAAGACACAGGAUAAUUCUACCAAGAUAGUCUCAAACUAUGAAAACAAUACAGGAUUGAAUGUUCCAUCGUCGAUUGUUGCUAUCCCUCCUCACACCCCACAAGGUCAUGGUGCCAAUGUAGUCUCAACUCCUGAGAACAACACAUCAACCGAUGCAUCAACCGUUGGACCACCAAACAGAGCUAUCCAUAUGGCCCGUGAAAAUCCUGUCGCUGUGAUACAACCUCAAAUUGUCAAUGAGUGUAGCCAUGAAGAGCGACUCAAGUUCAAUGAAGAAAGGCGCAUGCAGGUGCCUAUGUUGGCCCUACAUGAACUGCAAAUAAACGCAUACAUGUGUAGCACGUGA